AUGAACGCUGGCGGCGUGCCUAAUACAUGCAAGUCGAGCGAACAGAUGAGGAGCUUGCUCCUCUGACGUUAGCGGCGGACGGGUGAGUAACACGUGGAUAACCUACCUAUAAGACUGGGAUAACUUCGGGAAACCGGAGCUAAUACCGGAUAAUAUAUUGAACCGCAUGGUUCAAUAGUGAAAGACGGUUUUGCUGUCACUUAUAGAUGGAUCCGCGCCGCAUUAGCUAGUUGGUAAGGUAACGGCUUACCAAGGCAACGAUGCGUAGCCGACCUGAGAGGGUGAUCGGCCACACUGGAACUGAGACACGGUCCAGACUCCUACGGGGGGCAGCAGUAGGGACUCUUCCGCAAUGGGCGAAAGCCUGACGGAGCAACGCCGCGUGAGUGAUGAAGGUCUUCGGAUCGUAAAACUCUGUUAUUAGGGAAGAGCAAAUGUGUAAGUAACUAUGCACGUCUUGACGGUACCUAAUCAGAAAGCCACGGCUAACUACGU
rnacentral:rRNA from 1 species